ensembl:snRNA U6 U6 spliceosomal RNA
GUGCUCACUUUGGCAGCACAUAUACUAAAAUUGGAACGAUACAGAGAAGAUUAGCAUGGCCCCUGUGCAAGGAUGACAUGCAAAUUCAUGAACCAUUUCAUAUUUAA